rnacentral:rRNA from 1 species
GACGAACGCUGGCGGCGUGCUUAACACAUGCAAGUCGAACGGAAAGGCCCUGCUUUUGUGGGGUGCUCGAGUGGCGAAUGGGUGAGUAACACGUGAGUAACCUGCCCUUGACUUUGGGAUAACUUCAGGAAACUGGGGCUAAUACCGGAUAGGAGCUCCUGCUGCAUGGUGGGGGUUGGAAAGUUUCGGCGGUUGGGGCUGGACUCGCGGCUUAUCAGCUUGUUGGUGGGGUAGUGGCUUACCAAGGCUUUGACGGGUAGCCGGCCUGAGAGGGUGACCGGCCACAUUGGGACUGAGAUACGGCCCAGACUCCUACGGGAGGCAGCAGUGGGGAAUAUUGCACAAUGGGCGGAAGCCUGAUGCAGCAACGCCGCGUGCGGGAUGACGGCCUUCGGGUUGUAAACCGCUUUCGCCUGUGACGAAGCGUGAGUGACGGUAAUGGGUAAAGAAGCACCGGCUAACUACGUG